CUGAAUCCUUCACACAGAUUACACCGCUCACACACACAUACACUACAGCCCCUAUGCACACACUCAUUACAUCCCCUAUACACACUUUCUCUCUCACUCUCUACAGCCCUUACCCACACAUAGUACACCACACAUACAACAAUACUGAAAUCAAAAUCUACACAAAGCACCACACCACAAUCAACUCACUCUACACACACGCAAUCCCACAAGUGUUACUUUACUUCCUAAAUACC